rnacentral:rRNA from 1 species
UACGUAGGGUGCAGGCGUUAAUCGGAAUUACUGGGCGUAAAGCGUGCGCAGGCGGUUUGCUAAGACAGGUGUGAAAUCCCCGGGCUUAACCUGGGAACUGCGCUUGUAACUGGCAAGCUUGAGUGUGGCAGAGGGGGGUGGAAUUCCACGUGUAGCAGUGAAGUGCGUAGAGAUGUGGAGGAACACCGAUGGCGAAGGCAGCCCCCUGGGCUAACACUGACGCUCAUGCACGAAAGCGUGGGGAGCAAACAGG